rnacentral:snoRNA from 1 species
UUUGUUCUGUCUACAUAAAAGGUGAGUGAUUGCUAUCCACACAAACAUCAUGCAGCCAAAGAGUAAGUUGGGAUCAUAGUACUGGUCUAGUGUUGUCUCAUUGGACAUAAUUUACCACUGGCCAGCCUCCAAAUUCCCAUACAGAA